AGUGAACGCUGGCGGUAGGCCUAACACAUGCAAGUCGAACGGCAGCACAGUAAGAGCUUGCUCUUACGGGUGGCGAGUGGCGGACGGGUGAGGAAUACAUCGGAAUCUACUUUUUCGUGGGGGUUAACGUAGGGAAACUUACGCUAAUACCGCAUACGACCUACGGGUGAAAGCAGUGGAUCUUCGGACCUUGCGCGAUUGAAUGAGCCGCUGUCGGAUUAGCUAGUUGGCGGGGUAAAGGCCCACCAAGGCGACGAUCCGUAGCUGGUCUGAGAGGAUGAUCAGCCACAUGGGAACGGAGACACGGUCCAGACUCCUACGGGAGGCAGCAGUGGGGAAUAUUGGACAAUGGGCGCAAGCCUGAUCCAGCCAUACCGCGUGGGUGAAGAAGGCCUUCGGGUUGUAAAGCCCUUUUGUUGGGAAAGAAAAGCAGCAGGUUAAUACCCCGCUGUUCUGACGGUACCCAAAGAAUAAGCACCGGCUAACUUCGUG
rnacentral:rRNA from 1 species